UUGAUUGACCAAACCACAUACUGGUACAUCUGUGUUGUGCGAUGCGAAUGGGGGCGACGGAGGUUGGCCUCGGCCGGACCCGGCCCCCAGGCAUUCUUUGCUAUACACACUGUCGUCUGAUACGUCUGUUAUGUACGCAUGCAAAUGCAAACA
rnacentral:misc_RNA from 1 species